AUUUAGGUUUUUUUUAAAGCCAUAAAUAUUUUGUUUCAAAUCAUG
rfam:Rattus norvegicus chromosome 17, whole genome shotgun sequence.